rnacentral:rRNA from 1 species
AUUGAUCGCUGGCGGCAUGCCUUACACAUGCAAGUCGAACGGCAGCGCGGGGCAACCUGGCGGCGAGUGGCGAACGGGUGAGUAAUAUAUCGGAACGUACCCUGGAGUGGGGGAUAACGUAGCGAAAGUUACGCUAAUACCGCAUACGAUCUAAGGAUGAAAGUGGGGGCUUCGCAAGAACCUCAUGCUCCUGGAGCGGCCGAUAUCUGAUUAGCUAGUUGGUAGGGUAAAAGCCUACCAAGGCAUCGAUCAGUAGCUGGUCUGAGAGGACGAUCAGCCACACUGGAACUGAGACACGGUCCAGACUCCUACGGGAGGCAGCAGUGGGGAAUUUUGGACAAUGGGCGCAAGCCUGAUCCAGCAAUGCCGCGUGAGUGAAGAAGGCCUUCGGGUUGUAAAGCUCUUUUGUCAGGGAAGAGACGGUAGAGGCUAAUAUCCUCUGCUAAUGACGGUACCUGAAGAAUAAGCACCGGCUAACUACGUGCCAGCAGCCGCGGUAAUACGUAGGGUGCAAGCGUUAAUCGGAAUUACUGGGCGUAAAGCGUGCGCAGGCGGUUUUGUAAGUUUGUCGUGAAAUCCCCGGGCUUAACCUGGGAAUUGCGAUGAAGACUGCAAGGCUAGAAUCUGGCAGAGGGGGGUAGAAUUCCACGUGUAGCAGUGAAACGCGUAGAGAUGUGGAGGAACACCGAUGGCGAAGGCAGCCCCCUGGGUCAAGAUUGACGCUCAUGCACGAAAGCGUGGGGAGCAAACAGGAUUAGAUACCCUGGUAGUCCACGCCCUAAACGAUGUCUACUAGUUGUCGGGUUUUCAUUAACUUGGUAACGCAGCUAACGCGUGAAGUAGACCGCCUGGGGAGUACGGUCGCAAGAUUAAAACUCAAAGGAAUUGACGGGGACCCGCACAAGCGGUGGAUGAUGUGGAUUAAUUCGAUGCAACGCGAAAAACCUUACCUACCCUUGACAUGUACGGAAGCCUUGAGAGAUCAGGGUGUGCUCGAAAGAGAGCCGUAACACAGGUGCUGCAUGGCUGUCGUCAGCUCGUGUCGUGAGAUGUUGGGUUAAGUCCCGCAACGAGCGCAACCCUUGUCAUUAGUUGCUACAUUUAGUUGAGCACUCUAAUGAGACUGCCGGUGACAAACCGGAGGAAGGUGGGGAUGACGUCAAGUCCUCAUGGCCCUUAUGGGUAGGGCUUCACACGUCAUACAAUGGUACAUACAGAGGGCCGCCAACCCGCGAGGGGGAGCUAAUCCCAGAAAGUGUAUCGUAGUCCGGAUUGUAGUCUGCAACUCGACUACAUGAAGUUGGAAUCGCUAGUAAUCGCGGAUCAGCAUGUCGCGGUGAAUACGUUCCCGGGUCU